rnacentral:rRNA from 1 species
UACGUAGGGUGCGAGCGUUGUCCGGAAUUAUUGGCGUAAAGAGCUCGUAGGCGGUCUGUCGCGUCGGCUGUGAAAUCCCGAGGCUCAACCUCGGGUCUGCAGUCGAUACGGGCAAACUGGAGUGUUGCAGGGGAGACUGGGAAUUCCUGGUGUAGCGGUGAAAUGCGCAGAUAUCAGGAGGAACACCGGUGGCGAAGGCGGGUCUCUGGGCCGAUACUGACGCUGGAGGAGCGAAAGCGUGGGGAGCGAACAGG